GUUACGUGUGGUUGGAUGCGGCGUUUGCAACAACUUCCAUGCUUUCAGACCUCUUCAGUUGUGCGGCAAGGCUUGUAUCGCCUUGAGCGUACUGUGGGUUUUCUGUGUUGGCUACCUAAUCAAUGGUAUCGGUUGGAUCGAUCAAAGUUUGAUUUCGUCUUCCGUCGCAUUCGCGGCGUGAGGUGAACCUCGAUGCGGUCUCUUUGAUCCACCUCAUUGAAGCAUGUGCUUUGACGUUGUGGCCCAUUGAGCAUUGCUUGGUCUCUUGUAUACGGAACAUAUAGUGGGCAUGGAUCUAACGAUCCUUGUUUGCCCUCAUGUUAGCGUAACGCUUCUCUAACACGACUUGCGCCAUGUUUUAGCUCGUAC
rnacentral:misc_RNA from 1 species